UUCAGUUGCUGGUUUGAACGAUCGGUGCUCUCCUCGGAUCUAUCUUACCUAUGGAACCGUCGAUAUCAGCAAUUCAUACGCCAUUCCUCACAAUGAAUCUUCCGAUCAGCUGCAGGUAUUCUACUGGUGCUGGUGUAAUGGCGGUACCAUAAAAACUUUCAUCUCUUCAAACCUUUCACUUGGACAACUGAUAAGAGACAAAGUGAUGAUGAAUUGGAAGUCAACAAGAAUGAAACUAAGUCCUCAAGUCUAUCGUAUCAAAGGAGUGACUGGGUUCACUCCUAACAACAACUCGCUGCACAGUUUCAAGAGUUUCAUGUUGAUCUCCGUAUGGUUGAGUCUGAGAGAGU